AACAUUUUCAUAAUCGGUACACAAAUUAUGAAAAUAUCAGUUUAUAUAAAUAAAAUCAUUGUUAUGGAGCCUUCUCUUCCUUUAAGUCGAUUCUAUACAAUAUUCAAAUGCAUAAUCAUUAUACUGAAAAUAUCUUUCAAUGAUAAAUAAUCACGGUCAAAUGAUAUUGAACAGGAAAAAGAAGUAAUCAGGUGCUGUUGAUCAAGAAGCAAUCGAAGCAUAGUAAUUAACUGCCUUUGUACCCGACGACCGGCUUUUCCGGCAAGGGAUAUUUGCCAAAGAUAAACUUCCUACAUCUAUCAAAUGAAAUUCGGAAACACGCAACGUCAAAAAAAAAGAGAUAAAAUUAAAUUGGUGAACUGUAAGACUAUAAAAUCAAGAUAUACCAGCCUUUCCUAGCAAUAAGUUGGAAUCAUUUUUGUGUGAAUGCAUUUUUUCACCUCCUAGAUAAACAGGACAAGCAUGAGCACAGCAAGGAGGGGUGUGUUUGUUAACAACUACAGGAGCGCCUACGAAGGAAGCCUACGAGCAGAGAGACAGUUGCGUCAUGAGUGUAUCUACUGCAGGGUCGGAAUCAUUCGAAUUCACAAUCCGUUGAAAAUUUCAGGAGACUAAGGUUAUGUGCUAAGUUAUUUGUUGAACUCUAUGACGAACUAGGCGAAUUCGGUGACUUGUGCUAUGACUGCUGUUAAGCGUUAGAACUAGAAGUAUCAAACAGAAUUGAGAGUGAAUCAUGUGGAACCGUCAAAAGGUUUUUAGAAGUUUUCAAAGAAAACGGUCGUCAUAGAAUGUUUUUUUACGAUCGAAUAAAUACAUAAAUGAAGACAAACAACUAGAAACGAGAACUAAGAACAAAUAGAAACAAUUAAGAAUCGAUUAUUACGUAUUUCUAAUAUAAAUAUACACUUCGGAUAAUUUUUUAUCUAAUAUUGCCUCUAUA